rnacentral:rRNA from 1 species
GUCUACGGCCAUGUCACCCUGAACGCGCCCGAUCUCGUUUGAUCGCGGAAGCCAAGCAGGGCCGGGCCUGGUGAGCGCUGGGAUGGGAGACCGCCUGGGAAGGCCAGGUGCUGUAGGCG